rnacentral:rRNA from 1 species
ACAGUGGACGCGAGCAUCUUUGUUGUAAGUAAUGAAGAGCGUACGGUGGAUGCCUUGGCACCAGGAGCCGAUGAAGGACGUAGGAGGCUGCGAUAAGCCUCGGGGAGCUGUCAACCGAGCUGUGAUCCGAGGAUGUCCGAAUGGGGAAACCCAGCACGAGUGAUGUCGUGUUACCCGCGCCUGAAUAUAUAGGGCGUGUGGAGGGAACGUGGGGAAGUGAAACAUCUCAGUACCCACAGGAAGAGAAAACAACCGUGAUUCCGUGAGUAGUGGCGAGCGAAAGCGGAAGAGGCUAAACCAUGGGUGUGUGAUAGCCGGCAGGUGUUGCAUUCGUGGGGUUGUGGGGUUCAUUUUGUCUGUUCUGCCGAGCAGGCCAACAGUAAGAAAUCACAGGGUUAGUGGAAGUGGUCUGGAACGGCCUGUCGUAGAGGGUGAGAAUCCCGUACACGAAAACUUUGUGACUGUUGUAAUGGAAACCCAAGUAGCACCGGGCCCGUGAAAUCUGGUGUGAAUCUGUCGGGACCACCCGAUAAGCCUGAAUACUCCCUGGUGACCGAUAGCGGACUAGUACCGUGAGGGAAAGGUGAAAAGUACCCCGGGAGGGGAGUGAAAUAGUACCUGAAACCGUGCGCUUACAAUCCGUCAGAGCCUUCGAACAGUUUACUGUUGGGGGUGAUGGCGUGCCUUUUGAAGAAUGAGCCUGCGAGUUAGUGGCAUGUCGCGAGGUUAACCCGUGUGGGGUAGCCGUAGCGAAAGCGAGUCCGAAUAGGGCGAUCGUAGUGGCAUGCUCUAGACCCGAAGCGGAGUGAUCUACCCAUGGCCAGGUUGAAGCGACGGUAAGACGUCGUGGAGGACCGAACCCACUUAGGUUGAAAACUGAGGGGAUGAGUUGUGGGUAGGGGUGAAAGGCCAAUCAAACUCCGUGAUAGCUGGUUCUCCCCGAAAUGCAUUUAGGUGCAGCGUCGCGUGUUUCUCACCGGAGGUAGAGCUACUGGAUGGUCUAGGGGGCCCACAAGCUUACCGAAAUCAGCCAAACUCCGAAUGCCGGUGAGUGAGAGCGCGGCAGUGAGACUGCGGGCGAUAAGGUUCGUAGUCGAGAGGGAAACAGCCCAGAUCGCCAGCUAAGGUCCCUAAGCGUGUACUAAGUGGAAAAGGAUGUGGGGUCGCGAAGACAACCAGGAGGUUGGCUUAGAAGCAGCCACCCUUGAAAGAGUGCGUAAUAGCUCACUGGUCAAGUGAUCCUGCGCCGACAAUGUAGCGGGGCUCAAGUACACCACCGAAGCUGCGGCAUUCACGCAAUAGCCCCCAGUUGAUCCAAGGAUUUUCUGGCAGGUGUGUGGAUGGGUAGGGGAGCGUCGUGUGGCCAUGGAAGCGGCAGGGUGACCUAGCCGUGGAGGCCACACGAGUGAGAAUGCAGGCAUGAGUAGCGAAAGACGAGUGAGAAACUCGUCCGCCGAAUGACCAAGGGUUCCUGGGCCAGGUUAAUCCGCCCAGGGUGAGUCGGGACCUAAGACGAGGCCGACAGGCGUAGCCGAUGGACAACGGGUUGAUAUUCCCGUACCCGUGUGAACGCGCCCAUGGUGAAUCAGUGAUACUAACCAUCCUGAAGCCACGAGAAGACCUUCGGGUCUCGAGUUGGUGGAUGCAUGGGACCUGAUCUGGUAGUAGCCAAGCGAUGGGGUGACGCAGGAAGGUAGCUGAGCCAGUCAGUGGUAAUACUGGUGUAAGCGUGUAGGGCGUGACCUAGGCAAAUCCGGGUCACACAUAGCCUGAGACGUGAUGCGUAGCCGAUUGAGGCGAAUUCAGUGAUCCUAUGCUGCCGAGAAAAGCCUCUAGCGAGCUUUCACACGGCCCGUACCCCAAACCGACACAGGUGGUCAGGUAGAGAAUACUAAGGCGAUCGAGAUAACUAUGGUUAAGGAACUCGGCAAAAUGCCCCCGUAACUUCGGGAGAAGGGGGGCCCUGUUUGGUGACGACAUUUACUGUCUGAGCUGGGUGGGGCCGCAGAGACCAGUGAGAAGCGACUGUUUACUAAAAACACAGGUCCGUGCGAAGUCGUAAGACGAUGUAUACGGACUGACGCCUGCCCGGUGCUGGAAGGUUAAGAGGACCGGUUAGUUCCUUCGGGAGCGAAGCUGAGAAUUUAAGCCCCAGUAAACGGCGGUGGUAACUAUAACCAUCCUAAGGUAGCGAAAUUCCUUGUCGGGUAAGUUCCGACCUGCACGAAUGGCGUAACGACUUCUCAGCUGUCUCAACCGUAGACUCGGCGAAAUUGCAUUACGAGUAAAGAUGCUCGUUACGCGCGGCAGGACGAAAAGACCCCGGGACCUUCACUACAGCUUGGUAUUGGUGUUCGGUUCGGUUUGUGUAGGAUAGGUGGGAGACUGUGAAACGGUGACGCCAGUUAUCGUGGAGUCGUUGUUGAAAUACCACUCUGAUCGAAUUGGACCUCUAACCUCGGACCAUGAUCUGGUUCAGGGACAGUGCCUGGUGGGUAGUUUAACUGGGGCGGUUGCCUCCCAAAAUGUAACGGAGGCGCCCAAAGGUUCCCUCAGCCUGGUUGGCAAUCAGGUGUCGAGUGCAAGUGCACAAGGGAGCUUGACUGUGAGACUGACAGGUCGAGCAGGGACGAAAGUCGGGACUAGUGAUCCGGCACCGGCAAGUGGAAGCGGUGUCGCUCAACGGAUAAAAGGUACCCCGGGGAUAACAGGCUGAUCUUCCCCAAGAGUCCAUAUCGACGGGAUGGUUUGGCACCUCGAUGUCGGCUCGUCGCAUCCUGGGGCUGGAGUAGGUCCCAAGGGUUGGGCUGUUCGCCCAUUAAAGCGGCACGCGAGCUGGGUUUAGAACGUCGUGAGACAGUUCGGUCUCUAUCCGCCGCGCGCGUUAGAAACUUGAGGAAGGCUGUCCCUAGUACGAGAGGACCGGGACGGACGAACCUCUGGUGUGCCAGUUGUUCCGCCAGGAGCACCGCUGGUUAGCUACGUUCGGAAGGGAUAACCGCUGAAAGCAUCUAAGCGGGAAGCCUGUUCCAAGAUGAGGUUUCUCACCCC